rnacentral:rRNA from 1 species
GCUUACGGCCAUACCACCCUGAACACGCCCGAUCUCUCCGAUCUCGGAAGCUAAGCAGGGUCGGGCCUGGUUAGUACUUGGAUGGGAGACCGCCUGGGAAUACCAGGUGCUGUAAGCU